rnacentral:lncRNA from 1 species
AUGAUUACGGAUAAUCAUAAAAUCCGUAUUUUUUGGUUUGCGCUCGUGCGCAAAGUUCUUUCUCCAGCUGUGCUGUGCAGAAGUUGGUCCGCGUGCUCGUUCGUCUUUUGGCUGCACACACACACACAUACAUACACACGCACUUUCAACACACUCUUACACACUCUUCUUAUACACACUCUCUGUCUGGCUCUGCAACAUAGAGAGGUGAGCGCGCGCGCACGCAUGCAUGCAGCACACACACACAGUCUGGCAUACACGCGCGCUUCCACUCUCUGGCGCGCAACGCAACUCUUGCUUCGUGCAACCUUCGCUCGUGCAGAUUUCUCGCUCGCUAUAACUCCACUCUCUCUCGCGCGCGCAGGUACCGCGCACCUGGGGCCAAGCUGCUGUGGGCUGUGUGCUGAGGGCGCGCGCGAAGCCUCUAUCGCAUCCCUUUCUUCCACUCCACGCGCGAGAAGCCAAGGUAAUCAAGGUCAUGGAGGACCACCACCCCCCACACUCUGAAGCCCACCACCACCCACCCUCCACCCUCCGCCACUGCCGCUGCCUCCUCUCCGGCAUCCAGCAACCACCUCCUGAUCCCCCACUACCAGGGAGAGGGUAAUUUAAGCUCUGUGUGAUGUACCCUAUUCAUCACUGUCCCGCCGGCCCGCUUCAAAAUUAAA